UACGUAGGGUCCGAGCGUUGUCCGGAUUUAUUGGGCGUAAAGAGCUCGUAGGCGGUUCGUCGCGUCGGCUGUGAAAUCCCGAGGCUCAACCUCGGGUCUGCAGUCGAUACGGGCGGACUGGAGUUCGGCAGGGGAGACUGGAAUUCCUGGUGUAGCGGUGAAAUGCGCAGAUAUCAGGAGGAACACCGGUGGCGAAGGCGGGUCUCUGGGCCGAUACUGACGCUGAGGAGCGAAAGCGUGGGGAGCGAACAGG
rnacentral:rRNA from 1 species